GGAAUUACUGGGCGUAAAGCGAGCGUAGGUGGCUUGAUAAGUCAGAUGUGAAAUCCCCGGGCUUAACCUGGGAACUGCAUCUGAUACUGUUAAGCUAGAGUAGGUGAGAGGGAAGUAGAAUUCCAGGUGUAGCGGUGAAAUGCGUAGAGAUCUGGAGGAAUACCGAUGGCGAAGGCAGCUUCCUGGCAUCAUACUGACACUGAGGCUCGAAAGCGUGGGUAGCAAACAGGAUUAGAUACCCUGGUAGUCCACGCCGUAAACGAUGUCUACUAGUCGUUGGGUCCCUUGAGGACUUAGUGACGCAGCUAACGCAAUAAGUAGACCGCCUGGGGAGUACGGCCGCAAGGUUAAAACUCAAAUGAAUUGACGGGGGCCCGCACAAGCGGUGGAGCAUGUGGUUUAAUUCGAUGCAACGCGAAGAACCUUACCUGGUCUUGACAUACACAGAAUCUUGUAGAGAUACGAGAGUGCCUUCGGGAAUUGUGAUACAGGUGCUGCAUGGCUGUCGUCAGCUCGUGUCGUGAGAUGUUGGGUUAAGUCCCGCAACGAGCGCAACCCUUGUCCUUAGUUACCAGCGGGUUAAGCCGGGAACUCUAAGGAUACUGCCAGUGACAAACUGGAGGAAGGCGGGGACGACGUCAAGUCAUCAUGGCCCUUACGACCAGGGCUACACACGUGCUACAAUGGUAGGUACAGAGGGCAGCUACACAGCGAUGUGAUGCGAAUCUCAAAAAGCCUAUCGUAGUCCAGAUUGGAGUCUGCAACUCGACUCCAUGAAGUAGGAAUCGCUAGUAAUCGCGGAUCAGAAUGCCGCGGUGAAUACGUUCCCGGGCCUUGUACACACCGCCCGUCACACCAUGGGAGUUGAUUGCACCAGAAGUGGUUAGCCUAACUUAG
rnacentral:rRNA from 1 species